AAACUACUCCCUCCGUCCCAAAAUUCUUGUCUUAGAUUUGUCUAAAUACGGAUGUAUCAAGUCACGUUUUAGUAUUAGAUACACCCGUAUCUAGACAAAUUUAAGACAAGAAUUUUGGGACGGAGGAAGUAACAU
rnacentral:pre_miRNA from 1 species